AUAAACAUUUCUCUCUUUUCUCCUUGGUUUCCAGUAAGAGAAUAACAUCACAGCACAAGAUCUCUACAUAGCUAACAUUGCCUGAAAAUUACAAGCCUAUUUCUUUUUUACCAAAAUUCUACUCCUUUGAUGGAUUGAUAGUUCACAUGUUUUUGCCGCUCUACACAUCUUUCUCCUUUUUUCAUUUUAUUUCGCCCAAUAUUCUGUCAAAAAUGCGAUAAUACCAAAAACAGAGAGAUGAAAAAAGUACUACUAGUUUGGAAGCAUAAAUUGAGGUGCGUGAUGGAGUUGGAGAUGGGUGUUGUCUCUCAGGGAAGGAGUUCUUUGAUGUUAUUGUGUCAAAGUCACAUGUCACCCUCAAUCAUUAUCUGCGUCCACCAACACACAUUCUUCCCAAAUUUCCUGAUGCAAAGGUGCCUUUGGUGACAAGCAAUGGCAGAUGAUGAUGAUGAUGAUGAUGAUGUAUCUUGGAAGAAAUUCGUGACUGAUAACAAUCUGAAAGAGGGAAAUGAUGGAGUCGAGCCCUCAGAUCCUCAGGCAUCAUCAGGAACACCAUGGAUCUGCCGCCGGCACUGCUGAUUCAAUCCCAGGGAAAGACACCGGAGACGGCUAUAGAGCUUUGGCUUCACUAUGUUCACCAUUAAGCUUUACAAUUCUGUCUCUGUAGACUCUUAUGUGCCUUGUGGAAGCUGGAUUUAAUGUUUUGGUAAUUUGUAGUGAAACUCAAAUGUAUGAAUACUUGGUUAUUUGGGUA